rnacentral:lncRNA from 1 species
UCUCUUCUCUUGGAACCGCCGCCCUGCCCACCGCCCACACCGACACACGCCCUGCCGCCUGCGCUAAUCCUGAGGCCUUCAGGUGCUCCAAAAUGCCCACUCGAGGGCGCCGGGACCCGUCCAGAACACAGCGCCCCCGAAAGACACGCCGGGCUGUGCACCCGCGCGCGCCGGACUUCAGCGAAACGUGACCGGUGUGCGGGGGCCAGGGACGGAGGAAAUACACACAAGCCGUGCUGCGCGGCCCUUCCAGCCGCCGCCACCGCAUGCUUCACCCUCAUCAACACCUCCCUUCGCGCUCAGAGCGGCCGCCAGAGGCCGCCAGCUCCCUCCCUAGCUGUACACAUCACAUCUACAUUCCAAGACGCCGGCGCCACAGGGCCGCUGGCUGCACGCCAGGCGGCUCCACAACGGGGCGGCAAGCACCAUGGCGAGGCGCUUACGAGGAGGGGGCCUCCUUCUCAAUGUACACGAACAGGGUGGCCAUGGCGAUGGCGGGCAGCACCAGGCCUGGGGGUUGAGGGCGCAAACGCUGGGUUGGUUAGCGGGGACACGCGGAGGCUAUCAACCUCUUCGACCCGCCGCAACACCCCCCCACUCCCCUUUUGACGGCCUCCAAAUGUUUUGUUUUCAGUACGCACGCAGGGAGGGUGCCGCGAACAUGCAUGGGCCGAAACCAAUACGCAUGCAACCCUGACUCACCGGUCAGGGGCACGAAGACCGAGGGAGCCCACGAGGGGGGCACGAAGGGGUAGCCCUGGGCAGCGGAGGCCACGGUGGCGAUCACCUGGGAAGCCUCAGCCUGCAAGUAGCCAAGCCGAGGAGCGAAGUCGAUAACUGCCUGAGCAGCGUGGGCGUGAGUGCGAUUCUGACAACACCCGAACACUUCCGCAAGCAGCCUGAUAGUUAAACGCGCCCGAUCCUGGCUGAGCUGGCUUCGUUCACUAUCUUGACGACAUGCUAGGAUCCUGAGUGCAGCCCGAGUUGACGCUGCCGCUCCGAGCAACAAUCAAGUCUCCGACGACUGCCCGCCCUCGCUGCCAGAGUCCGCGCCGCGCACGUCCGCGCCAGUGGAUUGCCAGGUGGCUGAUCUUGUCCAAGUGAACCUUCAGUGUGCUGUUUCAUCGCUGCCAGCGACUGGCCAGGGCCCCCGAAAUCACCCACGCGUCCAUGUUGCCAAGACGCACCGAG